rnacentral:lncRNA from 1 species
AUGUGUUUUUGUUCCUGUCUAGGGGUUUUGGGAUUUUUUGGGGGGGGCACACGAGGAGAUUGGCUGAGUCAGGUCGGAGACCUAAGCCAACUCCUCGUGCUUACCGUGGGGAGCAUGUUACUGGUCUGGCACCUUGUUAUGCGGGUGUCUCCAGUGCGCAUUUCUAGCCCGGUGCGCUCUAUUCCAGCUCCUCGCAUUUACCAGGCUAGAAUGGGCAUCCAACCAGGAAGGAGGGUGCCGGCUCAGCGCUCCUGGUCUCCAGUAUACCUCCAUGGACCAGGAUAUCCUGCGCCGGCUCUGGGUACUGUGAGUCUGCACAGCCCUGUGCGUCCUGUGCCAGCGCCCUGCAUUUGCAGGGCAAGCAUAAACAUCCAGCCAGGACGGGUUGUGUCAGCUCUACACUCCAGACCUCCAGUACGCCUCCACAGUCCAGUACUUCCUGUGCCUGCUCCCCGAACUUGCCCUGAGGUGCGUGUCUCCAGCCCGGUACCACCAGUGCCAACACCACACACCAGGCUUCCUGUGCGUCUCCAGAGCCCUGUACGCCCUGUUCCUCCUCCCCGCACUUGCCCUGAGGUGCAUGUCCCCAGCCCGGUACCACCAGUGCCGGCACCACGCACCAGGCCUAUAGUGUGCCUCGGCAGUCCAGUACGACCUGUUCCGGCAACAGUACCCAGUCCAGACCGUCCGGCAACAGUACCCAGUCCAGAGCGUCCGGCAACAGUACCCAGUCCAGAGCGUCCGGCAACAGUACCCAGUCCAGAGCGUCCGGCGACAGGGCCGCAGACCGGAACCUCCUAUGACGGGCCGCAGACCGGAACCCCCUAUGACAGGCCGCAGUCCGGAACCUACCACGACGGGCCGCAAUCCGCAACCGCCAGAGUCUCCCUCCAGUCCGGAUCCGCCACCUCGGAGUUAUGCCCACCCAGACCCUCCCAUAUAGGCUUAGGUGGGCCGGGAGUCCGCACCUUUGGGGGGGGGGGGGGGGGGGUUACUGUCACGCCCUGA